ensembl:lncRNA
GUCGGGGGUUGUUUGGGGUCAUUUGGGGUCGAGGGUUGUUUGGGGUUGGGGGUUCUUUGCGGUCAUUUGGGGUUGGAGGUUGUUUGGGGUCGGGGUUGUUUGUGUGGGGUGGUUGUAGGGUGGGGGGGUUGUAGGGUUGUAGGGUUGGUGGUUGUAGGGUUGUAGGGUAGGGAGAUUGGAGGGUUGUAGGGCUGAUUGCUUGUAGGGUGCGAUGGUUGUAGGGUGGGGGAUGUUCAGGGUUGUAGGGUGGGGUGGUUGUAGGGUGGGAAGGUUAUAGGGUUGGGUGGUUGUAGGGUUGUAGGAGGGGUUGGUUGUGGGGUUGUGGGGUUGUAGGGUGGGGUGGUUGUGGGGUUGUGGGGUUGUAGGGUGGGAAGGUUGUGGGGUUGGGGGGUUGUAGGGUGGGGAGGUUGUGGGGUUGUGGGGUUGUAGGAGGGGUUGGUUGUGGGGUUGGGUGGUUGUAGGGUCAGAAGGUUGGGUUGUAGGAGUGGUCGGUUGUGGGGUUGUAGGGUUGUAGGGUUGGGUGGUUGUGGGGUUGGGGGGUUGUAGGGUGGGGUGGUUGUAGGGUUGGGUGGUUGUUGGGUUGUAGGGUUGGGUGGUUGUAGGGUGGGGUGGUUGUAGGGUUGUAGGAGGGGUUGGUUGUGGGGUUGGGGGGUUGUAGGGUGGGGUGGUUGUGGGGUUGUAGGAGGGGUUGGUUGUAGGGUUGGGUGGUUGUAGGGUCAGAAGGUUGGGUUGUAGGAGUGGUCGGUUGUGGGGUUGUAGGGUUGGGUGGUUGUGGGGUUGGGGGGUUGUAGGGUGGGGUGGUUGUAGGGUUGGGUGGUUGUAGGGCUGUAGGAGGGGUUGGUUGUGGGGUUGGGGGGUUGUAGGAGGGGUUGGUUAUGGGGUUGAGGGUUGUAGGGUUGGGUGGUUGUGGGGUUGUGGGGUUGUGGGGUUGGGGGGUUGUAGGGUGGGGUGGUUGUAGGGUUGGAGGGUUAUAGGGUUGUAGGGUGGGAUGGUUGUAGGGUUGGAGGGUUAUAGGGUUGUAGGGUGGGAAGGUUGUGGGGUUGGGGGGUUGUGGGGUGGGAUGGUUGUAGGGUUGGAGGGUUGUAGGGUUGUAGGAGUGGUCGGUUGUGGGGUUGGGGGGUUGUAGGGUGGGAUGGUUGUAGGGUUGGAGGGUUAUAGG